rnacentral:rRNA from 1 species
UUUAUGGAGAGUUUGAUCCUGGCUCAGGAUGAACGCUGGCGGCGUGCCUAAUACAUGCAAGUCGAGCGAACAGAUAAGGAGCUUGCUCCUUUGACGUUAGCGGCGGACGGGUGAGUAACACGUGGGUAACCUACCUAUAAGACUGGAAUAACUCCGGGAAACCGGGGCUAAUGCCGGAUAACAUGUUGAACCGCAUGGUUCUACAGUGAAAGACGGUCUUGCUGUCACUUAUAGAUGGACCCGCGCCGUAUUAGCUAGUUGGUGGGGUAACGGCCUACCAAGGCGACGAUACGUAGCCGACCUGAGAGGGUGAUCGGCCACACUGGAACUGAGACACGGUCCAGACUCCUACGGGAGGCAGCAGUAGGGAAUCUUCCGCAAUGGGCGAAAGCCUGACGGAGCAACGCCGCGUGAGUGAUGAAGGUCUUCGGAUCGUA